UUAAUAACUCAUGAUAAGAUGAGAUAUUAAGACCUGAACUAUUGAUUAGAAGUUGAUCAGCUUCAUGUGUCUCAACAACAGCUGUUGACCUCGUGGUAAUAAAGUCUCCUGUGAUAUCUCUGCAGUUGAGACAGAUCAGUGAACGUCUCCAUCAGGUGAGACUCUACAGAGACCUUCUGCAGGGACACACCUGUAGACAACUGUUGAAACAACAUGACUUUUUAUUAUUAACA